UAUGUACUCCCUCCGUUCCAAAAUACUUGACUUCCAUUUGUCCAAAAAUGGAUGUACCUAUAUACUAAAACAUGUCUAGAUACAUCUAUAUUUUGACAAAUAGAAGGCAUGUAUUGUGGAACAGAGGGAGUAGAAU
rnacentral:pre_miRNA from 1 species